GAAUUUUGCUUCCCCUUUAGCAUUUGGAGCAUAAGAACAGUGCUUAUUUUCUUCUUUUCCAAGAGAACAGAAAGAAAUAAUGAAGCAUUGGAUGAUUUAAAAUCUCAGAAGAAAAAAAUACUUGAGGAAGUCAUGGAAAAAGAAACUUAUAAGACAGCUAAAUUAAUUCUUGAAAGGUUUGAUCCAGACUCAAAGAAAGCAAAGGAGUUUGAGCCGCCAUCUGCUGGAGCAGCUGUAACUGCAAGACCUGGACAAGGUAAAUAACUUUGUAGAAACU